rnacentral:rRNA from 1 species
AGUGAACGCUGGCGGUAGGCCUAACACAUGCAAGUCGAACGGCAGCACAGUAAGAGCUUGCUCUUACGGGUGGCGAGUGGCGGGCGGGUGAGGAAUACAUCGGAAUCUACUUUUUCGUGGGGGAUAACGUAGGGAAACUUACGCUAAUACCGCAUACGACCUACGGGUGAAAGCAGGGGAUCUUCGGACCUUGCGCGAUUGAAUGAGCCGAUGUCGGAUUAGCUAGUUGGCGGGGUAAAGGCCCACCAAGGCGACGAUCCGUAGCUGGUCUGAGAGGAUGAUCAGCCACACUGGAACUGAGACACGGUCCAGACUCCUACGGGAGGCAGCAGUGGGGAAUAUUGGACAAUGGGUGCAAGCCUGAUCCAGCCAUACCGCGUGGGUGAAGAAGGCCUUCGGGUUGUAAAGCCCUUUUGUUGGGAAAGAAAAGCAGCAGGUUAAUACCCCGCUGUUCUGACGGUACCCAAAGAAUAAGCACCGGCUAACUUCGUG